rnacentral:lncRNA from 1 species
CUCUCUCACUCUGAUGUCUCACUCAUAUUCAUCCUUCUUCUUCAAGCUUACAUAAUCAUUUUUUAUCAUCAUCAAUUCAAGCAAAACCCAUAAAUCAAUAUCUAACUCAAAAACACCCAGAAUCUUCAAUAUUCAUAAAAUCAUCAAUUCCAGAUAUCUAACACACCCAGAAUCUUCAAUCUUCAUUAAUUAAAUCAUCAAUUCAAAUAGAAAAACAAGCAAAAACAAGGACCAAACACGUUAAAGCAAAACCUAAAUUCGUUUACCCCAAAAUCAUUAAACCCAAAUUCAAGUUCGGUUAGAUUAUGUGGGAAUUCGAAGGAUGAUGCAGUGGUUAUGGUGGUGGAUGAGAAGCGUUUUGCGGUUGAU